GAGUGAAGAGGGAAGAGCUCAUCAUUGGAAUCUGGCAGUGUUGCACUGUCCGAGUUGUAGAUGAGGAGUAGUCCAUCUGGACUGCAUGGCGUCCAAGUACAAUAGGCCGUCAGUGGGACAUCAUAGAGGGUGACAAUCCCGUCCUUGACGCCAAUGUGCAAGUCCGUUACGAUGGCUAUCUCAGAGAGUCGAGCAGUUUGGGAUUUGCUGCUUAAACAUGGGAGGUAGAUUCCUUCUAAAGCUAAAUACAGGCGAGAGACCGAUAGAGAACAAGUACCGCAAGGGAAAGAUGAAAUAGCACUCUGUGAAGGGAGUCAAAAGACGUGAAAUUGUUGCGAGAGAAGCGAUUCAAGUCAGCGUAGCUAGGCCCAUUAAGCCUCUUUGCUUUGGACUAGCUUUGCCAGCGGUCUUGUCCUUAGAGACUUGACUUUAUGGUCCAGCCGGGUUGGCACAGGUAGCUCCCUCUGGGGGUCAGUGACAUGGCUGGUGGAAUGGCUUGCAAUCGACCCGUCUUGAAACACGGACCAAGGAGUCUAACAUGUAUGCGAGUAUAAGGGUGGCAAACCCGUAUGCGCAAUGAAAGUGAUUUUCGGUGAUUGAGAAUGGCCUGAUGACCAGACAAGCAAUACAUGUCCCUCGUACGGCCAUUGCCCAAGUUCCGUGGUAGAUCCCAUGAACAUGGAGUUGGAGCAUACAUGCUAGGACCCGAAAGAUGGUGAACUAUGCCUGGACAAAGCGAAGCCAAAGGAAACUCUGGUGGAGGCUUGUAGCGAUUCUGACGUGCAAAUCGAUCGUCUGAUCUG
rnacentral:rRNA from 1 species